rnacentral:rRNA from 1 species
GACGAACGCUGGCGGCGUGCUUAACACAUGCAAGUCGAACGGUGAACCUCUUCUGAGGCUAUCAGUGGCUAACGGGUGAGUAACACGUGUGCAACCUGCCCCCGGCUCUGGGAUAACUCCAAGAAAUUGGGGCUAAUACCGGAUGUUCACCGCUUCCCGCAUGGGUGGUGGUGGAAAGGGUUUCCGGCUGGAGAUGGGCCCGCGGCCUAUCAGCUUGUUGGUGGGGUAGUGGCCUACCAAGGCGACGACGGGUAGCCGGCCUGAGAGGGUGACCGGCCACAAGGGGACUGAGAAACGGACCAGACGCCUACGGGAGGCAGCAGUGGGGAAUAUGGCGCAAUGGGCGGAAGCCUGACGCAGCGACGCCGCGUGGGGGAUGACGGCCUUCGGGUUGUAAACCGCUGUCAGCAGAGACGAAGCGCAAGUGACGGUACCUGCAGAAGAAGCACCGGCCAACUACGUG